rnacentral:rRNA from 1 species
AGCGAAAUAAUAGUAGCGAAGUUCCUGAUGUCACACUGCCAAGAAAAGCUUCUAGUGAGAAAACAACUGCCCGUACCGUAAACCGACACAGGUAGUCGAGGAGAGUAUCCUAAGGUGAGCGAGCGAACUCUCGUUAAGGAACUCGGCAAAAUGACCCCGUAACUUCGGGAGAAGGGGUGCUGACUUCGGUCAGCCGCAGUGAAUAGGCCCAAGCGACUGUUUAUCAAAAACACAGGUCUCUGCAAAAUCGUAAGAUGAAGUAUAGGGGCUGACGCCUGCCCGGUGCUGGAAGGUUAAGAGGAUGGGUUAGCUUCGGCGAAGCUCAGAAUUGAAGCCCCAGUAAACGGCGGCCGUAACUAUAACGGUCCUAAGGUAGCGAAAUUCCUUGUCGGGUAAGUUCCGACCCGCACGAAAGGCGUAACGAUUUGGGCA